rnacentral:rRNA from 1 species
UGGGGAAUUUUGGACAAUGGGCGAAAGCCUGAUCCAGCCAUGCCGCGUGCAGGAUGAAGGCCUUCGGGUUGUAAACUGCUUUUGUACGGAACGAAAAGACUCCUUCUAAUAAAGGGGGUCCAUGACGGUACCGUAAGAAUAAGCACCGGCUAACUACGUGCCAGCAGCCGCGGUAAUACGUAGGGUGCGAGCGUUAAUCGGAAUUACUGGGCGUAAAGCGUGCGCAGGCGGCUAUAUAAGACAGUUGUGAAAUCCCCGGGCUCAACCUGGGAACUGCAUCUGUGACUGUAUAGCUAGAGUACGGUAGAGGGGGAUGGAAUUCCGCGUGUAGCAGUGAAAUGCGUAGAUAUGCGGAGGAUCACCGAUGGCGAAGGCAAUCCCCUGGACCUGUACUGACGCUCAUGCACGAAAGCGUGGGGAGCAAACA